rnacentral:pre_miRNA from 1 species
CUCUGAUCGGCCUGAAUAGUUGUCUCAACCUUGUUUUAAUUUCGGGUGAGCAAAAAUUCAGGUGAAUCUGACA